rnacentral:rRNA from 1 species
CAUGUGUAGCGGUGAAAUGCGUAGAUAUAUGGAGGAACACCAGUGGCGAAAGCGGCUCUCUGNUCUGUCACUGACGCUGAGGCUCGAAAGCGUGGGUAGCGAACAGGAUUAGAUACCCUGGUAGUCCACGCCGUAAACGAUGAGUGCUAGGUGUUAGGCCCUUUCCGGGGCUUAGUGCCGGAGCUAACGCAAUAAGCACUCCGCCUGGGGAGUACGACCGCAAGGUUGAAACUCAAAGGAAUUGACGGGGGCCCGCACAAGCGGUGGAGCAUGUGGUUUAAUUCGAAGCAACGCGAAGAACCUUACCAGGUCCUGACAUCCCGAUGCUAUUCUUAGAGAUAGGAAGUUACUUCGGUACAUCGGAGACAGGUGGUGCAUGGUUGUCGUCAGCUCGUGUCGUGAGAUGUUGGGUUAAGUCCCGCAACGAGCGCAACCCUUAUUGUUAGUUGCCAUCAUUAAGUUGGGCACUCUAGCGAGACUGCCGGUAAUAAACCGGAGGAAGGUGGGGAUGACGUCAAAUCAUCAUGCCCCUUAUGACCUGGGCUACACACGUGCUACAAUGGUCGGUACAACGAGUUGCGAGCCGGUGACGGCAAGCUAAUCUCUGAAAGCCGAUCUCAGUUCGGAUUGGAGGCUGCAACUCGCCUCCAUGAAGUCGGAAUCGCUAGUAAUCGCGGAUCAGCACGCCGCGGUGAAUACGUUCCCGGGCCUUGUACACACCGCCCGUCACACCACGAGAGUUUGUAACACCCGAAGUCGGUGAGGUAACCUUUUAGGGGCCAGCCGC